AGAGUUUGAUCCUGGCUCAGGAUGAACGCUGGCGGCGUGCUUAACACAUGCAAGUCGAACGGACCCAUAUUGAAACCUAGUGAUAUAUGGGUUAGUGGCGGACGGGUGAGUAACGCGUGGGUAACCUGCCUUACACAGGGGGAUAACACUUAGAAAUAGGUGCUAAAACCGCAUAAGCGCACAGCUUCGCAUGAAGCGGUGUGAAAAACUCCGGUGGUGUAAGAUGGACCCGCGUCUGAUUAGCUUGUUGGCGGGGUAACGGCCCACCAAGGCGACGAUCAGUAGCCGGCCUGAGAGGGCGGACGGCCACAUUGGGACUGAGACACGGCCCAGACUCCUACGGGAGGCAGCAGUGGGGAAUAUUGCACAAUGGGGGAAACCCUGAUGCAGCGACGCCGCGUAAGUGAAGAAGUAAUUCGUUACGUAAAGCUCUAUCAGCAGGGAAGAAACACUGACCUUACGGUCAGCAGACGGUACCUGAGUAAGAAGCCCCGGCUAACUACGUG
rnacentral:rRNA from 1 species